CCCCCACCCUUCUCUUUGGAAUGUGGAUGUUGUGUUCUCUAGACUGUUUGCUGUUGUCUGGAGGUGCUGGAAUCUUUGGAGGACCCUGAGAAAAUUAGGAUAAUGGUCAAGUCCUGGCUAGAACAGUCUGUGAAGUUGGACCAUCUCACCCAGGAGCCGUGAAGCUGUUCUGGAUGCAGAACUCUGAGGAAACUGCAGCAGAGGCACUCUGAGAGACUGGAUCAGCUGGAGCACCCACUUUCAUUGGUGUCUGGUCCCCUUGCUCUGAAAACACAUAAACUUUCAAAGGUCGACCCCCACCUUAUGACUUCCUCCAAAGAAAAGAAGAAAAGGAAAAAAUACCAAGUCCAAUUUAUGUUGCUCAUAUACUUACUGGAACAUGGCCAAACUCCCAGUGGCCAGCCCCUUAAAUUAACCUGAGUCCUUUUCUACCCCCAACCCUGCUAGAAGCCAUCAUCUAUGAAGAGCUACACUUCAGGAUCCUAUCAGAACUUUAAGAAUUCUUUUCAAUAGC